AGAGUUUGAUCCUGGCUCAGGAUGAACGCUGGCGGCGUGCUUAACACAUGCAAGUCGAACGAACCUUCGGGUUAGUGGCGGACGGGUGAGUAACGCGUGAGAAUCUGCCCUCAGGAGGGGGAUAACGGUUGGAAACGACCGCUAAUACCCCAUAUGCCGCGAGGUGAAAUGAAUUUCGCCUGAGGAUGAGCUCGCGUCUGAUUAGCUAGUUGGUGGGGUAAAGGCCUACCAAGGCAUCGAUCAGUAGCUGGUCUGAGAGGAUGAUCAGCCACACUGGGACUGAGACACGGCCCAGACUCCUACGGGAGGCAGCAGUGGGGAAUUUUCCGCAAUGGGCGAAAGCCUGACGGAGCAACGCCGCGUGAGGGAUGAAGGCCUCUGGGCUGUAAACCUCUUUUAUCAAGGAAGAAGAUCUGACGGUACUUGAUGAAUAAGCCACGGCUAAUUCCGUGCCAGCAGCCGCGGU
rnacentral:rRNA from 1 species